GACGAACGCUGGCGGCGUGCUUAACACAUGCAAGUCGAACGGAAAGGCCCUGCUUUUGUGGGGUGCUCGAGUGGCGAACGGGUGAGUAACACGUGAGUAACCUGCCCUUGACUUUGGGAUAACUUCAGGAAACUGGGGCUAAUACCGGAUAGGAGCUCCUGCCGCAUGGUGGGGGUUGGAAAGUUUCGGCGGUUGGGGAUGGACUCGCGGCUUAUCAGCUUGUUGGUGGGGUAGUGGCUUACCAAGGCUUUGACGGGUAGCCGGCCUGAGAGGGUGACCGGCCACAUUGGGACUGAGAUACGGCCCAGACUCCUACGGGAGGCAGCAGUGGGGAAUAUUGCACAAUGGGCGGAAGCCUGAUGCAGCAACGCCGCGUGCGGGAUGACGGCCUUCGGGUUGUAAACCGCUUUCGCCUGUGACGAAGCGCGAGUGACGGUAAUGGGUAAAGAAGCACCGGCUAACUACGUG
rnacentral:rRNA from 1 species